GACCGGAUAUUGUGGCUACGGCGAUUCAUGCAAGUUUUUGCACGACCGAACUGAUUACAAGUCCGGGUGGCAAUUAGAGAAAGAAUGGAAUGAAACCGAAAAGAGGAGGGUGCGCUGAUGGUUUGUUUGACGAGAGUGACGAUGAAGAUCAAGAAGUGUCAAAGCCUGGAGAGCAAGAUGCUGCUGAGGCAACUACAGAGAGUAAAGUAGAAGCUACUCCAAGCACAUAAUAACCUUGCAGUGCAAGAUUUGAAGAUGCUUAGAAAGACUGUUGAGUGAAUUUUUCCUCCGUUGUGCCAUUCAGUGGUAGUUUUAAGUGGGAGACGUUUGUGUCCUCUUUGAUGUGUUGACUUAACAGUAGGAUAUUGUAUAAUUGAGAUUUAUUUAAUGCAUGAAUGGCGGUGAUUUGUU